rnacentral:rRNA from 1 species
UACCGAGUUUUCAACUCCCAAACCCCUGUGAACAUACCUGAACGUUGCUUCGGCGGGACCGCCCCGGCGCCCUCAGCGGCCCGGAACCAGGCGCCCGCCGGAGGACCCAAACUCUUGCUUUAAACAGUGGCAUUCUCUGAGUCUCACAAACAAAAUAAAUCAAAACUUUCAACAACGGAUCUCUUGGCUCUGGCAUCGAUGAAGAACGCAGCGAAAUGCGAUAAGUAAUGUGAAUUGCAGAAUUCAGUGAAUCAUCGAAUCUUUGAACGCACAUUGCGCCCGCCAGUAUUCUGGCGGGCAUGCCUGUUCGAGCGUCAUUUCAACCCUCAAGCCCCCAGGGGCUUGGUGUUGGGGACCGGCCCGCCCUUCUGCGGCGGCCGCCGCCCCCGAAAUGCAGUGGCGACCUCGCCGCAGCCUCCCCUGCGUAGUAGCACAACCUCGCACCGGAGCGCGGAGACGGUCACGCCGUAAAACGCCCAACUUUCUUUAGAGUUGACCUCGGAUCAGGUAGGAAUACCCGCUGAACUUAAGCAUAUCAAUAAGCGGAGGAAAAGAAACCAACAGGGAUUGCCCCAGUAACGGCGAGUGAAGCGGCAACAGCUCAAAUUUGAAAUCUGGCCUCCAGGGCCCGAGUUGUAAUUUGCAGAGGAUGCUUUUGGCGCGGUGCCUUCCGAGUUCCCUGGAACGGGACGCCAUAGAGGGUGAGAGCNCCGUCUGGUCGGACACCAAGCCAGUGUAAAGCUCCUUCGACGAGUCGAGUAGUUUGNGAAUGCUGCUCUAAAUGGGAGGUAUAUGUCUUCUAAAGCUAAAUANCGGNCAGAGACNCGAUAGCGCACAAGUAGAGUGAUCGAAAGAUGAAAAGCACUUUGAAAAGAGGGUUAAACAGUACGUGAAAUUGUUGAAAGGGAAGCGUUUAUGA